GCCACUUUUCCUGUCUUGAGGCAGUUCUCACAUAUCAUCGGCUUCAUUUCAGGAAAAAGGGGGGAAAGAGUUUAAAAGCAAACACUGAAAUGAAAGAGAAUUCACUAGGAGUUCAUCAGACUACAAGAGAAUAGCCGAGUACUUCUGACAAGUGCCUGGCAUCAGAAGGAGCAAACAGGCUCUCACCAUGCUACAAAAUCUCAUACUUUUUCUUCUUGGAUUUGUUGUACACAAUUCCUGCUCCCCGCCUGAAACUACAGACCAGGCAAAAAGAUGUGAUAAGAAAUCUCUGCUUACAAUUAGAACUGAGUGCCAGUCUUGUUCAGUGAACUUGGGAAUUCAAUGCCCAGAUGGUUACACCAAGGUUACCAAUGGCUCCGUGGGUGUUCGAGAUUGCAGGUACAUCUUUGAGAUCAGGAAGUACUCGCUGUCUCUUCCUGGAUGCCGCCAUAUCUGUAGAAAGGACUAUGUCCAGCCUCAGUGCUGUCCAGGCCACUGGGGCCCAGACUGCAUGGAGUGUCCAGGAGGUGCGAGCUCCCCCUGCAGCGGCAGGGGCAUUUGUGCGGAAGGCAUGGAAGGAAACGGAACUUGUUCCUGCCAGGACGGGUUUGGAGGAACAGCCUGCGAAACCUGUGCUGAAGACAACUUAUUUGGGCCCAGCUGUUCAGCAGUGUGCAGCUGUGUGCACGGAGUGUGCAACAGUGGGAGAGAGGGUGACGGAAGCUGUGAAUGCUACUCUGCGUACACCGGCCCCAACUGCGACAAGCCCGUUCCUGAAUGUGCAGCCUUGCUCUGCCCUGAAAAUUCGAGAUGCUCACCUUCCAGCCAAGAUGAAACAAAACUGGAAUGCAAAUGCCUUCCCAAUUACCGAGGCGACGGCCACUACUGCGAGCCCAUCAAUCCAUGUUUACAAGCAAUCUGCCAUCCUCAUGCUCAUUGCACGUACCUGGGACCAAAUCGGCACAGUUGCACAUGCCAAGAAGGCUACCACGGGGAUGGCCAAGUGUGCUUACCAGUAGAUCCCUGCCAGACUCGCUAUGGAAAUUGCCCUACAGAGUCUACAGUGUGCAUAUAUGAUGGGCCCGGACAGUCUCACUGUGAGUGUAAAGAACAUUACCACAAUUAUGUCCCUGGAGUGGGGUGCAGCAUAAUCAAUGUCUGUGAGUCUAACAACCCCUGUCACAGGAAUGCUAACUGCACUACCAUCGCACCAGGCCAACCCAAAUGCACUUGCCAGAAAGGUUAUGUGGGUGAUGGCUCAACAUGUUAUGGAAACAUCAUGGAGCGACUCAGAGAAUUAAACACUGAACCUAGAGGAAAAUGGCAAGGAAAGCUGACCUCUUUCCUCUCACUCCUGGACAAAGCCUAUGCCUGGCCACUAAGUGAACUGGGACCAUUCACUGUGCUUUUGCCCACAGACAAGGGACUGAAAGGAUUAAAUAUCAAAGAGCUCUUGAUGGAUAAGGAGGCUGCUCAGUACUUCGUGAAACUCCACAUAAUUGCUGGGCAGAUGAACACCCAACGUAUGAAUAACACAGACACUUUCUACACCUUGACUGGAAAGUCAGGAGAAAUCUUCAAUGGUGAUAACGACAAUCAACUAAAGCUUAAACUCUAUGGAGGCAAAAAUAACGUACAAAUUAUACAGGGGGACAUAGUUGCUUCCAAUGGGCUCCUGCACAUCCUCGACAGAGCCAUGGACAAGAUGGCACCCACAUUUGAGAGCAACACUGAGGAAACUAUAAUGACAAUGCUACAACCAAGAUACAGCAAGUUCAGAUCUUUGUUAGAGGAAACCAGUGUGGGACAUGCCUUAGAUGAAGAUGGGACUGGUGGACCAUACACCAUUUUUGUUCCAAGUAAUGAAGCGUUAAACAAUAUGAAGGAUGGAACUCUUGAUUACCUGCUUUCUCCAGAGGGAUCUCGGAAGCUUCUGGAACUCGUCAGAUACCACAUUGUCCCAUUUACUCAGCUUGAAGUGGCUACUCUCAUUGCGACCCCACACAUUAGGACCCUGGCCAACCAGAUCAUACAGUUCAACACCACCAGCAACGGACAGAUUCUGGCAAAUGAUGUGGCCAUCGAAGAGACAGAGGUCAUUGCCAAAAACGGCCGAAUCUACACCCUGACCGGCGUCCUCAUUCCUCUCUCCAUCGUGCCAAUUCUGCCCCACCGAUGUGAUGAAAGCAAGAGAGAGAUGAAAUUGGGCACCUGUGUGAGCUGCUCUCUGGUGUAUUGGAGCAAAUGUCCUACUAAUUCUGAGCCCACGACACUCUUCACACACAGAUGUGUCUACAAUGGCAGAGUAAGGAGCCUGAAGAGCGGCUGUGCCCGGUACUGCAAUGCCACAGUGCAGAUACCAAAGUGCUGCAAAGGUUUCUAUGGGCCUGACUGCAACCAGUGUCCUGGAGGCUUCUCGAAUCCAUGCUCAGGCAACGGCCAGUGUGUGGACGGCCUCAAUGGCAAUGGGACAUGUGUUUGCCAAGAUGGCUUCCAAGGCUCCCAGUGUCAGUUCUGCUCUGAUCCCAACAAAUAUGGACCUCGGUGUGACAAAAAAUGUCUAUGCAUUUCUGGAACAUGCAACAACAGGAUCGACAGUGAUGGGGCCUGCCUGGAUGGCACAUGCAGAGAAGGCUCUGCUGGGAGGUUCUGCCACAAGCAGACCUCCACCUGCGGGCCCUACAUGCAAUUCUGUCACAUCCAUGCCACCUGUGAAUACAGCAAUGGGAUAGCAAGCUGUGUUUGCAAACCAGGAUACAAAGGGGAUGGAAGCCUCUGUUCAGAAAUGGACCCUUGUGCAGAAAUCACGAGGGGGGGCUGCAGCCGAAAUGCAGAGUGCAUCAGAACCGGCCUGGGGACCCACACAUGCGUGUGCCAGCAGGGAUGGACCGGGGAUGGCAGAGACUGCUCGGAGAUCAACCACUGCCUGCUGCCAGGUGCUGGCGGCUGCCACGCCAAUGCAACCUGUUUGUACGUUGGCCCCGGGCAGAAUGAGUGUGAGUGCAAGCAAGGGUUUCGAGGAAAUGGGAUUGAUUGUGAAGCAAUCACUUCGUGCUGGGAACAAACUGGGCAAUGUCAUCCGCUGGCAACCUGUCAGCUUACUUCUUCUGGCCUCUGGAGUUGUGUUUGCCAGGAGGGCUAUGAAGGAGACGGCCAUCUGUGCUACGGAAAUGCAGCCGUGGAAUUGUCAUUCCUCUCCGCGGCAACUGUAUUUAACCAGUGGAUAAACAAUGCUUCUCUACAACCCAUGCUGUCAGCUGCCUCAAACCUCACUGUCCUCGUGCCUUCCCAGCAAGCUAUUGAGGACAUGGAUCAAGAUGAAAAAACCUUUUGGUUGUCCAAGAGCAAUAUUCCAGUCCUAAUAAAGUACCAUAUGCUGCUGGGCACAUACAGAGUGGCAGAUCUGCAGGCUCUGUCAUCUUCAGACAUGCUGGCAACAUCUCUGCCUGGCAACUUCCUUCACCUGGUGAAGGCAGAUGAGACUGUAACGAUUGAAGGAGCAUCUGUCAUUGACGGUGACAACGUAGCCACAAAUGGUGUGAUACACAUCAUCAACAAGGUUUUGGUUCCCCAAAGAAGCCUAACUGUCUCCUUGCCAAACCUGCUCACCCGGCUGGAUCAGAUGCCCAACUAUUCCAUCUUCCGGGGCUACAUCAUUCAAUAUAACCUGGCCAGUGCUAUCGAGGCAGCCAGCGCUUACACUGUGUUUGCUCCAAACAAUGACGCCAUUGAGAAUUACAUCCGGGAGAAGAAGGUCACAACUCUAGAGGAAGACAUAAUCAGGUAUCACGUGAUCUUGGAGGAGAAACUCCUGAAAAAUGACCUGCACCAAGGCAUGCAUCGGGAGACCAUGCGGGGCUCUUCCUACCUCCUUGGCUUCUUUCUCCACGAUGACCAGCUCUAUGUAAAUGAGGCUCCAAUAAACUACACCAAUGCAGCCACUGACAAGGGAGUGAUCCAUGGCUUGGGGAAAGUUCUGGAAGUUCAGAAGAAUAGAUGUGAUAAUAACGACACUACUAUUGUACGAGGAAAAUGUGGGAAGUGUCUCCAGCAACCGGUCUGCCCAGUUGGAACUAAACAACUAGGUGAAGAGAUGAGGAGAUGUAUCUAUACCAUUUAUUUCAUGGGCAAGCGAUCCCUGUUCAUUGGGUGCCAGGCAAAAUGUGUGAAAACCAUCAUUACGAGAGAAUGCUGUGCGGGCUUCUUCGGUCCCCAGUGUCAGCCCUGCCCAGGAAGAGCUGAGAACGUCUGCUUUGGAAACGGGAUCUGCUUGGACGGAGUGAACGGCACAGGCGUGUGCGAGUGUGGAGAGGGCUUCUCAGGCACGGCCUGUGAGACCUGCGUGGAGGGCAAGUAUGGCCCCCACUGCGACCAAGAGUGUUCUUGUGUCCAUGGGAGAUGCAACCAAGGACCCUCGGGCGAUGGCUCCUGCGAAUGUGAUGUUGGCUGGCGGGGAGUGAGUUGCGAUACUGAGAUCACAAAAGAUGACUGCAAUGGCAUAUGCCACACGAGCGCCAACUGCCUUCUCAAUCCAGACGGUACAGCCUCUUGCAAAUGCACAGCCGGAUUCCAAGGGAAUGGAACAGUUUGCACAGCCAUCAAUGCCUGUGAGACCAGCAACGGAGGUUGCUCUACCAAGGCUGACUGCAGGAGAACCACCCCUGGAAGUCGGCGGUGUGUGUGCCGGGCAGGCUACACAGGUGAUGGCAUCGUGUGCCUCGAGAUCAACCCCUGUUUGGAGAACAAUGGUGGCUGUCACAAGAAUGCAGAGUGCACUCAGACUGGACCCAACCAGGCGGUCUGUAACUGUUUGCCCAAAUACACGGGAGACGGGAAGGUCUGCACGCUCAUCAACACCUGCCUAACUAAAAAUGGCGGCUGUAGUGAAUUCGCUAUCUGCAAUCACACUGGUCUGGAAGAAAGGACGUGUACUUGCAAGCCCAACUACAUCGGGGAUGGGUUUACCUGCCGUGGCAACAUCUACCAGGAGCUUCCCAAGAACCCAAAAACAUCCCAGUACUUCUUCCAGUUGCUGGAGCACUCUGUGCGAGACCUGAGUGGUCCAGGCCCCUUCACUGUCUUUGCACCUUUAUCUGCAGCCUUUGAUGAGGAACCUCAGAUUAAAGACUGGGACAAACAGGGUCUCAUGCCCCAGGUUCUUCGCUAUCAUGUGAUUGCCUGCCACCAGCUGCUUCUAGAAAACCUGAAGUUGAUCCCAAAUGCAACUUCUCUCCAAGGGGAGUCCAUUGUCAUCUCCGUCUCCCAGGACACGGUGUAUAUAAAUAAUAAGGCUAAGAUCAUAUCCAGUGAUAUCAUCAAUACCAAUGGAAUCAUCCACAUCAUAGACAAAUUGCUAUCUCCCCAAAACUUGCUUUUCACCCCCAAAGAUGCCUCUGGAAGGAUUGUGCAAAAUCUUACAACAGUAGCAACAAACCAUGGCUACACCAAAUUCAGCAACCUACUACAGGAUGUGGGUUUGCUGGGCAUCAUCACUGACCCUAUCCACACUCCAGUCACUCUCUUCUGGCCCAGUGACCAAGCCUUGCAAGCCCUACCCCCCGAACAACAGGAUUUCCUAUUUAACCAAGACAACAAGGACAAGCUGAAGGAAUAUUUGAAGUUCCACGUGAUCCGAGAUUCCAAGAUCUUAGCUGUGGAUCUCCCCAGGGCCACUGCCUGGAAGACCCUGCAAGGCUCAGAGCUGGGAGUGACGUGCGGAGCUGGCAGUGACAUCGGCGAGCUCUUCCUGAACGACCAAACAUGCAGAAUUGUGCAGCGAGAACUCUUGUUUGACCUAGGUGUGGCCUAUGGCAUUGAUUGCCUCCUGAUUGAUCCCACCCUCGGGGGCCGCUGUGACACUUUCGCCACAUACAAUUUUUCGGGAGACUGCUGGAGCUGCGCCAAUACGCCCAGCUGUCCAAGGUGGAGUAAGCCAAAGGGCGUGAAGCAGAAGUGUCGAUACAACAUGUCCUUCAAAGGGUACCUGGAAGGCUGCCGGGAGCAGUGCACCAUGGUGAUACGGCUCCCCAGGUGCUGCAAGGGCUACUUCGGGCGAGACUGUCAGGCCUGCCCGGGAGGAGCGGAUGCCCCCUGCAGUAACCGCGGUGUCUGCCUCGAUCAGUACUCAGGCAUAGGCGAGUGCAGAUGCAACACAGGCUUCAAUGGGACGGCGUGCGAGCUGUGCCUGCCGGGGAGAUUCGGGCCUGACUGUCAGCCUUGUGGCUGCUCAGCCCACGGACAGUGUGAUGACGGCCCCACGGGCUCAGGACAGUGCUUCUGUGAAACAGGGUGGACUGGCCGCUUCUGCGACACUCAGACAGCCUUGCCCCCUGUGUGCACACCUUCUUGCUCUGCUCACGCCACCUGUAAGGACAACAACACCUGUGAGUGUGACCUGAAUUAUGAAGGGGACGGAAUCACGUGCACAGUUGUGGAUUUCUGCAAACAGAACAACGGGGGCUGUGCCAAGGUGGCCAGGUGUUCCCAGAAGGGCACCAAGGUGUCCUGCAGCUGUCUGAAGGGCUACAAGGGGGACGGUCGCAGCUGCAAGGAGAUAGACCCCUGUGCCGACGGCCUCAACGGUGGGUGUCACGAGCACGCCACCUGCAAGAUGACCGGCCCGGGCAAGCACAAGUGUGAAUGUAAAAGUCAUUACGUGGGAGACGGGACAGACUGUGAGCCAGAGCAGCUGCCCAUCGACCGAUGUUUGCAGGACAACGGGCAGUGCCACGCCGAUGCCGACUGUGCCGAUCUCCACUUCCAAGAUACCACCGUCGGAGUGUUCCAUCUCCGCUCCCCGCUGGGCCAGUACAAGCUGACCUUUGACAAAGCCAAAGAGGCGUGUGCCAACGAGGCAGCAAGCAUGGCAACCUACAACCAGCUCUCCUACGCCCAAAAGGCCAAGUACCACCUCUGCUCAGCAGGUUGGCUGGAGAGUGGGCGGGUAGCCUACCCCACAGCCUACGCCUCCCAGAACUGUGGCUCUGGAGUUGUUGGAAUAAUAGACUAUGGACAAAGAAACAACAAGAGUGAAAUGUGGGAUGUCUUCUGCUAUCGGAUGAAAGAUGUGAACUGCACUUGCAAGGCGGGCUACGUGGGAGACGGCUUCUCGUGCAGUGGCAAUCUGUUGCAAGUCCUGAUGUCUUUCCCUUCACUGACGAACUUCCUCACAGAGGUGCUGGCCUAUUCCAACCGCUCAGCCAGAGGCCGGGCAUUUCGGAAGCUGCUGACAGACCUGUCGAUCCGCAGUACCCUCUUUGUGCCACAGAACAGUGGACUGGGGGAGAACGAGACGCUGUCUGGGCGAGACAUUGAGCACCACCUCGCCAAUGUCAGCAUCUUCUUUUACAAUGACCUUGUCAAUGGUACCGUCCUACAGACUAAGCUGGGAAGCCAGCUACUCAUCACCUCCAGCCAGGACCAGCAACAACCGGAGACCAGGUUUGUUGAUGGAAGGGCCAUUCUGCAGUGGGACAUCUUUGCCUCCAAUGGGAUCAUUCAUGUCAUUUCCAGACCUUUAAAAGCACCCCCCACUCCAGUGGCUUCAGUCCACAUGGGCAUGGGAACAGGGAUAUUCUUCGCCACCGCCCUUGUCUUUGGAGCCGCUGCAUUGGCUGCAUAUUCUUACUUCCGGCUAAACCAGAGAACAGCUGGCUUCCAGCAUUUUGAGUCGGAGGAGGAUAUCGACGUCACGGCUCUUGGCAAGCAGCAGCCUGAGAAUAUACCAAACCCCUUGUAUGAGAGCACCCCCUCCGCUCCCCAAGAACCUUCCUAUGACUACUUCAUGGAUGCCGAAGACCAGCAGCUGGACAACACCGACCCCCUGGGGGCGCUGUGAGGGGCCAGACCUGCUGCCACCAGCCACCCCCCUUGGCCAUCUCCUCACCUGCCUGAGCCGCCUCAAAAAGGCUGUCAACUGUGAAUCCUCACACCGGUUGUUUGGAAACUUUCCUGGCAAUUUUGAUGGCAUGCACGUGGAGGACCAUCUUCUCCGGCUCUCGAAGAAGGAACUAUCCGUGGAGGAACAGCAUUUCCAGGGCGGGGGGUAUUGGCUGCCUACCCAAGUCUGAGCUCGCGCUCAUUUUCCAUCUGUGCCUUAACUCCACAGUCUUCUGGGUCUGAAAACAAGCAGGGGUGCUGGGACAAAUGGGGUGAGAAAUGUACCACACAUCUUCCACCCUUUCUCACCGGGGUGUUCUUUUUUUGGGUACAGUGGAAUUCGAUACGGCGUUGCCACUAAAGCACACAAAAACAGACUACUUACAAUGAGCCGGACACAAUUCAAACUUUUAUUUGGCAGUCCUAUAACAUAAAAUCGAACAUUUAGAAUAAAUAGCAAAUUCACAUCCAGAAUAAAUAGUAAGUCUAUCUAGUUCGCAUGUAUGGUGUCUGAUACCCUACGGGCACCCUCUGUCAUUCUGCUACAUAUUUGGAACACGGUGUCCUCAGGCUUCAAGCCGGCAGUGCUAAGAAAGUACGGAGGCCUGCAGCUGGUUGGCUGCCCCAGGAAGCAGAGGCCAAGGUGAGGUUUGCAUGAGGGACGAGUGCGGGCGAGUGUUCCUGGGAUCGACACCUGGGGAUGGAAAAGAAGGAACGAGGAGGGAGGAAGGUAGGGGCCGGAGUUGGCUGCUCCAGGAAGGGGGUGUGAGUGACCUCGUCUAAGGCGGGGCUUCUCCGUGGAGAAGGCUCUGGAAGAGGGCUGCCAGCUGAGGGCGGGGAGCCAGCAGCUGACCCAGCAGUUGGGGGGUAAUUCCCUGGGUUCUGCAGGUUCUGCACAGCCAAGCCCAUCCCCCCCGAUGAGCACAUGCACCAGUCAGUGCAGUGAGGGACGGUCCCUUAGUGCCCGAGCCUGGCUGUUCAAUUACGCACCACAAGGGCUAUGCCGUGUGCUAGAAACACCAGCUACAGAAGCAUGGGUACCCAGAGGACACAGGGAGCGUGGCGCACACACCUACAGAACUUCUCUCUUCCAGCCGCAUGCAGCUCUGAGGCGGUUAACGCGUGCUUUCAGCAAGGUCGUGGUGCCGUCACCACAAGGGACGAGAGCAGGACUGGGCAAACUGGGGCCGGAGAGCCACAUCUAGCCUGCAGCUGUUUUUGUAAAUCAGGUUGUGACAGAACACAGCGUGCCCAUUCCCAGGGCAGUGGUGGCAGAAAAUGGCCCAUGAAGUGGCAAGUGCUUCCUUGCUGGCCCUUUACAGGCAACACUGGCUGAACCCUGCAUCAGAGGAACUUCUCUCCCCUUCCUUGCCUCAACCCACGAGGGUGUUAAAGAUCAGUUGAACUUGAGGCCAGACUCCCAAAUGCUAAUGCAAUAAAAAAAAAGAGAGAGAGAAAGAGAGAAAUGGUACAAAAGGAAAUUAGUAUUAAGAGGGGAAAAUAUAGGCUCUCUUGUAGUUGAAUAGAGCAAUCAAGGAACCCUGCCUCUGGCCAAAUGUAGUCUCAAAGCAUUCUGGACAAGGGCCCCCGAGUGGGUCUUUGGCAGCAAAUGAGCACUCGGCGCCCGGAAUCAAGUCCAGUAUUUAGCACAUUCUACUGCUUAAAAGGCCUUCGGGAGGAAGAAAGAGGAAAAGCCAUUUAGUUCCCCCAAAGCUAAAUUAGUGAGGAGGGAAGAUUACUUCUCAUUUCUACUUUGCAAUAAUUAAGAGAGCCAAUGCAGUCAAAGCAACUAGUAAUUUAGUCUGAAAUGUGCCCAAAUCAGUAACAGGUGGUUUAUGUUACAUAACAUUACUGGUGAUGGCAGAAAACAGAGCUGAAGAGAGUUUAAAAAUUAAAAAAAAAAAAAAAAAAAAAAAA